UAAAGCGUUGCCCACAAAACUGAGAAAGUC
rnacentral:piRNA from 1 species